GAUGAACGCUGGCGGCGUGCCUAAUACAUGCAAGUCGGGCGAAUGGAUUGAGAGCUUGCUCUUAUGAAGUUAGCGGCGGACGGGUGAGUAACACGUGGGUAACCUGCCCAUAAGACUGGGAUAACUCCGGGAAACCGGGGCUAAUACCGGAUAACAUUUUGAACCGAAUGGUUCGAAAUUGAAAGGCGGCUUCGGCUGUCACUUAUGGAUGGACCCGCGUCGCAUUAGCUAGUUGGUGAGGUAACGGCUCACCAAGGCAACGAUGCGUAGCCGACCUGAGAGGGUGAUCGGCCACACUGGGACUGAGACACGGCCCAAACUCCUACGGGAGGCAGCAGUAGGGAAUCUUCCGCAAUGGACGAAAGUCUGACGGAGCAACGCCGCGUGAGUGAUGAAGGCUUUCGGGUCGUAAAACUCUGUUGUUAGGGAAGAACAAGUGCUAGUUGAAUAUGCUGACACCUUGACGGUACCUAACCAGAAAGCCACGGCUAACUACGUGCCAGCCGCCGCGGUAA
rnacentral:rRNA from 1 species